rnacentral:rRNA from 1 species
CGUGUAGGCGGCAAGGUAUGUCUGGUGUGAAAGCCCUCGGCUUAACCGAGGAAAUGCAUCGGAAACUACCUAGCUUGAGUGCGAGAGAGGGUGGCGGAAUUCCCAGUGUAGAGGUGAAAUUCGUAGAUAUUGGGAGGAACACCAGAGGCGAAGGCGGCCACCUGGCUCGUAACUGACGCUGAGACGCGAAAGCGUGGGGAGCAAACAGGAUUAGAUACCCUGGUAGUCC